CAAACCAAAACCUCCAGUAAAACCUAAACCUAAACAUUCUACUCUAUCUUCUGCAAAUACUUAACCAUAAUCGUGCAAAACCUAAACCUUUCUAACAAAACCCCCGAAUCCAAUCUCCCGGAAAACUUAGACCAUAAUCACGCACCACCACCAGAUCACCGCUGCACCACCAGAUCACCGCCGCUGUACCGCACUACUGUUCGUUGGAUCCCCUCUCCUUCUACCUCUCCCUCUCCCUCUCUCUCUAAUCAAAAUCCCCAAUUCAUCUAGCGCUUUCGGGCGAUUGUUCGUUGACUUUGUACACCAGCGUCGAGGGAGAUGGUGUUGAGUUUUGGCCUUAUGGUCAGACUUACUUCAAUAAGCCUUCUGGCAGGUAUUGUGAUGGUCUUGUCAUCCCGGAUUUCUUAGCUCAAUUUGCAGGUUGGCCACAUUUGCGGACGUAUAUGCAACCAGGCCCUAAGAAUUAUUCCCAAGGAAUGAAUUUUGCUGCUGCGAGUGCUUGUGUGCUCGUUGAAACUCGUCCUGGCAAGGGUUGUUUUAUAUAUCAAGAAAGAAUUCAACUUGCAGAGUGCACCAACUUUGGAAGGCUUAAUUGUGACUAUGGCACUAGUUGGAGCAACUCUAAUCACAACAUGUUGCGGACCGAUUUCAGAUCGUGUUGGUCGUCGCCCGAAUUUGAUAACCGUUUUAUAUUCCUUCCUCAUUUUCUGAUUUUAGGAAGGGAAUAGAGGACGCUUAUCUCUUAUCAAUGUACUUUAUUACUAGGUAUAUAAAACGCUUCUUUUACCCGUUUUAUAAACUUUAUAGCGCGCUGAGUUGAAGAACGCCUCUGAAGCGUCCUAUAAAGUGUAUUUCGACAGUACUCUAUGCCCUUUUUUG